AGAGUUUGAUCAUGGCUCAGAGCGAACGCUGGCGGCGUGCUUAACACAUGCAAGUCGAACGCGCAGUCCGGUGUAGCAAUACAUCGGGCGGGCGCGUGGCGAACGGGUGCGUAACACGUGGAUAACCUUCCUUCAGGUGGGGAAUAACUCGCCGAAAGGCGAGCUAAUACCGCAUAACAUUGCGAGGACACAUGUUCUUGCAAUCAAACCCGCAAGGGGCCAGUAGAGGGAUCCGCGGCCGAUUAGCUAGUUGGCGAGGUAACGGCUCACCAAGGCAAAGAUCGGUAGCCGGUCUGAGAGGAUGAUCGGUCACACUGGAACUGAGACACGGUCCAGACUCCUACGGGAGGCAGCAGUGGGGAAUCUUGCGCAAUGGGCGAAAGCCUGACGCAGCAACGCCGCGUGGGGGAUGAAGCUUCUCGGAGUGUAAACCCCUUUCGACCCGGACGAAUGCCCGCAAGGGCUUGACGGUACGGGUAUAAGAAGCCCCGGCUAACUACGUGCCAGCAGCCGCGGUAAAACGUAGGGGGCCAGCGUUGCUCGGAAUUACUGGGCGUAAAGGGUCCGUAGGCGGUGUGGCAAGUCGGAAGUGAAAUCUCUGGGCUUAACUCAGAGGCUGCUUCCGAAACUGCCGUGCUCGAGUGCGAGAGAGGCAAGUGGAAUUGCGGGUGUAGCGGUGAAAUGCGUAGAUAUCCGCAGGAACAUCCGAGGCGAAAGCGGCUUGCUGGAUCGCAACUGACGCUGAGGGACGAAAGCUAGGGGAGCAAACAGGAUUAGAUACCCUGGUAGUCCUAGCCCUAAACCAUCAGGACUUGGGGUUUGCCCUGUACGGGGCAAGUCCCGGAGCUAACGCGUUAAGUCCUGCGCCUGGGGAGUACGGUCGCAAGGCUGAAACUCAAGGAAUUGACGGGGCCCGCACAAGCGGUGGAACAUGUGGUUCAAUUCGACGCAACGCGAAGAACCUUACCUGGGCUUGAACCGCACAGGAUCAUUCCUGG
rnacentral:rRNA from 1 species